CACCGCCACGGUAAUACGAAGGGUGCAAGCGUUACUCGGAAUUACUGGGCGUAAAGCGUGCGUAGGUGGUGGUUUAAGUCCGUUGUGAAAGCCCUGGGCUCAACCUGGGAAUUGCAGUGGAUACUGGGUCACUAGAGUGUGGUAGAGGAUAGUGGAAUUUCCGGUGUAGCAGUGAAAUGCGUAGAGAUCGGAAGGAACAUCUGUGGCGAAGGCGACUAUCUGGGCCAACACUGACACUGAGGCACGAAAGCGUGGGGAGCAAACAGGAUUAGAUACCCGCGUAGUCCCUGUCUCUUAUACC
rnacentral:rRNA from 1 species